CGCGUUUGCUUCCCAUUGCACGCAACUUCCCAUCUCUCUCGUUCUUUCCACUGCAGCCGCCGCCGCCGCCGCUAGGGUUGCCGCCGCCAACACCUCCCCAAGCCGUAUUCGCCACGACGGGUCUCAACCUGCCACGCGGAGUGACUCUCGGAUGCGGACGCUCGAGGGCGAGGGAAGCGCCGCCGCUUUUCAUGGGCGCCGGUUGCUGGUGGCGGCGGGAGGGACGAGCAGGCGUGCGGCAACCUCAAGCUUCUCCCAUGUGCCUGGACACGAGCGGCACAAGGGGUUGAGGAGCAGGGGGCGAUGCCAAGGGCGUGGAGCAGGGGAUUCACAAGCAGAUGCAUAUCAUCAGCAACCCCUGAGACCUCGUGCAACAUCAAGAUGCUGGUGUCCUGCCUCCAUUUGUUCGCCACGGUCGCUGCCUCAUGUCAGGUAUUGCGCGCAGGUAUAUGGCGAGGACACAAAUUUGGGUGUCCAGCUCCUUGCCUGCAUGUGCAAAGAAUUCAGAACCUGCAGAUUAUUUUGUGUAUGUGACUACAAGGUGUUGGAAAUCCAAUCAGACUGUAGGAAAAGAUAUAUUUCUUCUUAUGCUCUUCGUGUAAUCAAUAGUUCUUUUUUCUUCUGCUGGGUAGUUGGGGGUUUGUUUUGGGAUGUUUCACCAAACUUAGGGAAGACCUUGUCAAGCUUAUUUGGGGGGGCACCAGGGUGAAUUAAUCCUGAUCCUAGCAUAAGUACAGUCAGGAAUUACAUCUUUUGUGGCCAGCAGGAACAGUGUGGUGUCCUAUUUUUUGCACUCUGGCGUUUUCUGUACUAUUGCCAGAACAUAUACUAUAUUUGCUAGCUCUUGUUGUUACCUCAUUUUAUCCUAUGCUUCUCUCAAAUCAGCUAUGAAUUACAAACGAUAAUAGAUCUCAUGAUGAUGAUGGUGGAGACUGUUGGUACUUUAGGUGAUAUAUGCCUCAUCAAAACUGAACAUUUAUCAAUUUUGAUGCAUGGCUGUACGGGCUAACAUUUUUUGUUUAAGGAAGCAACUAUAUAGUGUGUGCUGCAAGAAUGUACAUGCAAUAUAUCUUGUGCAUUGCAGACAUAGGAACGCUUGAUUGUCAUGAGUGUGUCUCAAUUGGUUCUUUAUAAUACAGUACUAGAGUUCAUUUAGAGUAUUAGUGGAUGAUAAUUUCCUUCCCUCAUAUUUAAAACAGUGCAGCAGAUGAAGCCAACGCGGACGAUGAUUAACUUCUCUGACCUUAUGGUAGGUUGAAUCUGAAUCACAUUGAUGGGUGAACUUCCUUGUAGUCCCUUUUCCUGAAACUAUAAGACAAUGGCUUAGCCUGAUGUUUUGGUAGUUGUGUAAGCUGAAACAUGAUGCUAAGCCGAACAAUUUAUUGUCGUUUUUUUCGCAUGAGAUCACAUUUUGGUAGUUGCGAAGCCUAAACCAUGAUGCUUUCUUGCUGCUGUUGUAGCCUCUAAUGAAAUUGUGAGAUAAUGUAGUUAAGCUAAAUUUCUUCUGUUUCAAUAAGAUAGAUGUUGGUAGUUGCGUAAGUUGGCAGUGGUGGCUUUGAUAUAUGAUCUGCCUCGACUCGGGUCUCCUCCAGUCAGCGCCUAUUCGACGACGGCGACGGCGAGAGGAGAUGAAGUGGAGGCAACUCGAGGGCCUCCUAGGGGGCCUGGUCCAGUUCUCCCCCGCCGCCUCCUUUGCUCGAUUUGGCGUCCAAAAAAGGUGGGUAAUGCGACGAGUAAUUUAUAUCAACUUUGUUAUGCUCUCGAUUGAUUCUGCUGCCUUUUGCUGCUUUGGGUCCUGUUGUGGCGUGAGUGGGAUUCGGUUCCACGCCAAAUCAAGCAGUCUACUCUGGCUGAGUAGACUAGCAGGUCCAUCCAUCCAUGUACGCCUUUCUUUGCCUGAAUUUUUUCAAGGGAUCGGUGGCAGCGAGAUCCGCAAGGAGAACGAGGUGGCGCCGCAAGAUGGCAAGAACGGUGCGGCAGCGGGGUGGGCAAGAAGAUGAGGGGAUUUAGGAGAGGGUGGAGGCAACGACAGUUUGCAGCAAAUAAAUUAAUGUCCAUCAUUGGUUGCAGGUGUCAGGAUAACUAGCUACAGGUCAUGUUCCAGAAUCCCCCUUCCAACCUUCUCUCCCCAUAGAUUGAAUAUACUCCCUCGGUUAAUUCUUUUUAUCUGCUAAUUUUUUCACAAUUUCUUAUUCCCUUCGUUAAUUUGUAGGAGGAAAAUUGUGCUGACGAUCUUUUCUAUACUCUCUGGAUUUAUGGUUUAUUCAUGGAAAGGGUGUAAAAUAAUGGGCAAUGGUAAUUAUUUUGUUCCUGUGAAGCUCCAGGUUUGGCUGAUUGCUCGGAUGAUGAGUAUCAUAACCCACACAAGAAAUAUAGAAAAGGUAAAGCGAAGACACAGUCCAUUUGGUUUGUCAUUUUGAAGGCACAGAUAGAAACAAGAACACCAUAUAUGUUCUAUAAGGAGGAGCUUUGAAAGUUUGUCAGGGCGGAGAAGAUGGUUCUCAAGUAUGCUACUAUCAUUGACUAGUAGAAUGCCCGUGCGUUGCCACGGGCUUUUGAAUUUUUUACUGGUUAUGUAUAUAAACAUAAUGCAUGUCAAAUUUCAUAUGUAUAGAAAAAAAUUUGGUGUUGGAUAACAUAACAAUGUUGCUCUGGUUGUAUUUGUUCUGACAGCUUUAUCUCUUAUAACAUUGGUUCUUAAUUUUAA